ACCACAGACAGCUCAGUCGGUAGAACAUGAGACUCUUAAUCUUCGGGUCAUGGGUUCGAGUCCCGCAUCGGGCA